rnacentral:rRNA from 1 species
GACGAACGCUGGCGGCGUGCCUAAUACAUGCAAGUCGAACGCAGUGGGGACGGGUGAGUAACACGUGGGUAACCUCCCAUCAGAGGGGAUAACACUUGGAAACAGGUGCUAAACCGAUACUGAUGGAUGGACCCGCGGUGCAUUAGCUAGUUGGUGAGGUAACGGCUCACCAAGGCCACGAUGCAUAGCCGACCGGAGAGGGUGAUCGGCUACACGGGGACGGUGACACGGCCCAGCCGCCUACGGGAGGCAGCAGUAGGGAAUCUGCGGCAAUGGACGAAAGUCUGAACGAGUAAUGCCGCGUGAGUGAAGAAGGUAUGCGGACCGUAAAACUCUGUUGUUAGAGAAGCGGUAGGUAACGAGAAAGCCACGGCUAACUACGUGCCAGCAGCCGCGGUAAUUC